AGGGGGAUAACUACUGGAAACGGUAGCUAAUACCGCAUAACGUCUUCGGACCAAAGUGGGGGACCUUCGGGCCUCACACCAUCGGAUGUGCCCAGAUGGGAUUAGCUAGUAGGUGGGGUAAUGGCUCACCUAGGCGACGAUCCCUAGCUGGUCUGAGAGGAUGACCAGCCACACUGGAACUGAGACACGGUCCAGACUCCUACGGGAGGCAGCAGUGGGGAAUAUUGCACAAUGGGCGCAAGCCUGAUGCAGCCAUGCCGCGUGUGUGAAGAAGGCCUUCGGGUUGUAAAGCACUUUCAGCGAGGAGGAAGGCAGUCGUGUUAAUAGCACGGUUGAUUGACGUUACUCGCAGAAGAAGCACCGGCUAACUCCGUGCCAGCAGCCGCGGUAAUACGGAGGGUGCAAGCGUUAAUCGGAAUUACUGGGCGUAAAGCGCACGCAGGCGGUUUGUUAAGUCANAUGUGAAAUCCCCGCGCUUAACGUGGGAACUGCAUUUGAAACUGGCAAGCUAGAGUCUUGUAGAGGGGGGUAGAAUUCCAGGUGUAGCGGUGAAAUGCGUA
rnacentral:rRNA from 1 species